rfam:Sorghum bicolor cultivar BTx623 chromosome 7, whole genome shotgun sequence.
AGUUCUGGUAGCCAAGGAUGACUUGCCUAUAUCCUCUAUGAAGGAUCAGCAAAUAUCGAGGCUUUGAGUGGUCUCAUGGGCAGUCUCCUUGGCUAGCCUGACUGACUCU